CAAAGAACAGGAUGUAAUGUUAUUGACAACAAAGAACAGGAUGUAAUGUAAAGUUAGACAACAAAGAACAGGAUGUAAUGUUAUUGACAACAAAGCACAGGACCCAUUAAUAGUCAAUGUAAUGGUACAGAGUAUAUGGAACAUACAGGCACCUGCCAUAAUAAAAAGGAAACUCGAGUAUGAGGGAUACAACGUAUAUUGAAAGCAGGCGCUUCCACACAGAUGUGGUUCCUGAGUUAAGCAAUUGACAUCCCAUAAUACUUAUGUUCAUGUAUAAAAAUGCCCUGAUACUUUGGAAAAAAAGUGAUUUAAAAGAGGGGUCUCAUAGGAACAUAGGGGGUUUAAAAAGGUGUGUGUGUGUGUGUGUGUGUGUCAGUCACCAGAUCUCAACCCAAUUCAACACUUAUGGGAGAUUCUGGAGUGGCGCCUGAGACAGCGUUUUCAACCACCAUCAACAAAAAACCAAAUGAUGGAAUUUCCCGGGGAAGAAUGGUGUCACAUCCCUCCAAUAGAGUUCCAGACUCUGGUAGAAAUCGGUGCCAAGACACAUUGAAGCCGUUCCAUCUCGUCGUGGCCCCACAUCCUAUUAAGUCUCUUUAUGUUGGUGUUUCCUUUAUUUUAGGAAAUUCAGAGUAGUCCUCCAUUUCUGCACAUCAACUAUGGAUGCAUCUCAUAUGGCACCCUAUUCCCUAUGUAGUGCACCCUAUUCCCUAUGUAGUGCACCCUAUUCCCUAUGUAGUGCACCCUAUUCCCUAUGUAGCGCACCCUAUUCCCUAUGUAGCGCACCCUAUUCCCUAUGUAGCGCACCCUAUUCCCUAUGUAGUGCACCCUAUUCCCUAUGUAGUGACACCCUAUUCCCUAUGUAGUGCACCUAUUCCCUAUGUAGUGCACCCUAUUCCCUAUGUAGUGCACCCUAUUCCCUAUGUAGUGCACCCUAUUCCCUAUAUAGUGCACUAAAUUUAUUAGACUCUUUGCAAACUGGAACCCAUACUCCUGAGGCUGCAUCAUUGUAGCUGGGGAUUUUAACAAGGCUAAUCUGAAAACAAGACUCCCUAAAUUGUAUCAGCAUAUCGAUUGCGCAACCAGGGCUGGCCAAACCUUGGAUCACUGCUAUUCUAACUUCCGCGACGCAUAUAAG
rnacentral:lncRNA from 1 species